CGGCCGCGUAAUUAGUAGCUACAUUUGAUGCAACAUUUUUAUUUAGGCUACUUUGUGACAGCACUUCCCUUACAUCUGUCUCCCAGUGCUGGAUAUUGCGCAACAGCUGUGAAACACUGACUAUCACAUUCCAUCCCUGGAUCACGAUGCUUCCAGACUUCCUGUUUUGGGGCCCGACUUACUGUGCAUGCUCAGAAGGAGAGAGCGGUUGAUGGUGCAGAAGGGAAUGUUCUUCCCUCUCGACCAAGGACUGGCACGUCUGAGCGUGUGUGUGAAAGAGAGAGAGACACUGAAACUGGCAUGCGUCUGGGAUCCUUUUC
rnacentral:lncRNA from 1 species